rnacentral:tRNA from 1 species
GCUCUCGUAGUGUAGUGGAUAUCACGUCUGCUUAACACGCAGAAGGUCCCAGGUUCGAGCCCUGGCGUGAGCA